UACGUAGUGAGCAAGCGUUGUCCGGAAUCAUUGGGCGUAAAGCGCGCGUAGGUGGCCUCAUAAGUCCGCUGUGAAAGUCAAAGGCUCAACCUUUGAAAGCCGGUGGAUACUGUGAGGCUAGAGUACGGAAGAGGCGAGUGGAAUUCCUGGUGUAGCGGUGGAAUGCGCAGAUAUCAGGAGGAACACCAAUAGCGAAGGCAGCUCGCUGGGACGUUACUGACACUGAGGCGCGAAAGCGUGGGGAGCGAACAGG
rnacentral:rRNA from 1 species